CCUACGGGAGGCAGCAGUGAGGAAUAUUGCACAAUGGGGGAAACCCUGAUGCAGCGACGCCGCGUGAGUGAAGAAGUAUUUCUGGUUGUAAAACUCUAUCAGCAGGGGAGAAAAUGACUGUACGUGAGUAUGAAUGCCCGUCUAACUACGUGCCAGCAGCCGCGGUAAUACGUAGGGAGCAAGCGUUAUCCGGAUUUACUGGGUGUAAAGUGAGCGUAGACGGUGAUGCAAGUCAGCAGUGAAAGCCUGGGGCUCAACUCAGGGACUGCUGUUGAAACUGGGUGACUGGAGUGCAGUAGAGGUAAGCGGAAUUCCUGGUGUAGCGGUGAAAUGCGUAGAUAUCAGGAGGAACACCAGUGGCGAAGGCGGCUUACUGGACUGUAACUGACGUUGAGGCUCGAAAGCGUGGGGAGCAAACAGGAUUAGAUACCCGGGUAGUC
rnacentral:rRNA from 1 species